AAACCCAGUGUGAUUCGUCACACUAUCAUUAACUGAAUCCAUAGGUUAAUGAGGCGAACCGGGGGAACUGAAACAUCUAAGUACCCCGAGGAAAAGAAAUCAACCGAGAUUCCCCCAGUAGCGGCGAGCGAACGGGGAGGAGCCCAGAGCCUGAAUCAGCAUGUGUGUUAGUGGAAGCGUCUGGAAAGGCGCGCGAUACAGGGUGACAGCCCCGUACACAAAAGCGCAUGUGCUGUGAGCUCGAUGAGUAGGGCGGGACACGUGGUAUCCUGUCUGAAUAUGGGGGGACCAUCCUCCAAGGCUAAAUACUCCUGACUGACCGAUAGUGAACCAGUACCGUGAGGGAAAGGCGAAAAGAACCCCGGCGAGGGGAGUGAAAAAGAACCUGAAACCGUGUACGUACAAGCAGUGGGAGCACCCUUCGGGGUGUGACUGCGUACCUUUUGUAUAAUGGGUCAGCGACUUAUAUUCUGUAGCAAGGUUAACCGUAUAGGGGAGCCGGAGGGAAACCGAGUCUUAAUUGGGCGUUAAGUUGCAGGGUAUAGACCCGAAACCCGGUGAUCUAGCCAUGGGCAGGUUGAAGGUUGGGUAACACUAACUGGAGGACCGAACCGACUAAUGUUGAAAAAUUAGCGGAUGACCUGUGGCUGGGGGUGAAAGGCCAAUCAAACCGGGAGAUAGCUGGUUCUCCCCGAAAGCUAUUUAGGUAGCGCCUCGUGAAUUCAUCUCCGGGGGUAGAGCACUGUUUCGGCUAGGGGGCCAUCCCGGCUUACCAACCCGAUGCAAACUGCGAAUACCGGAGAAUGUUAUCACGGGAGACACACGGCGGGUGCUAACGUCCGUCGUGAAGAGGGAAACAACCCAGACCGCCAGCUAAGGUCCCAAAGUCAUGGUUAAGUGGGAAACGAUGUGGGAAGGCCCAGACAGCCAGGAUGUUGGCUUAGAAGCAGCCAUCAUUUAAAGAAAGCGUAAUAGCUCACUGGUCGAGUCGGCCUGCG
rnacentral:rRNA from 1 species